UAUGUCAUCAUCAUUGUCUCAUAUUAUAUUGUCUUUUUAAAUAUAGUUUACAAUAUUAUUUUCCAGGAGAUGACCCAUUCUUGGCCUCCGCCACUCUCAGCUAUUCACACACCUGGAAAAGUGGAACAGAGCAAGUUUCCAUUUGCAAACAAGGAGUCGCAGCAGGUGUCUACAGGACACAGCAAUCCAAGUAAGCAAUGUUUCAGUGAAACCCUCCCUGCAAGCCUAGAAGGCCUAGAAACAUCUGAUGCAGGGAAAGGUGAGGCUGAGCCAAAGAAUCCAGAAAACAGUGCAUCACAUACGUCAAUAAACCAACUCUUCAAACGGAGGGACUCAACGUUUAAAACAAAAAAAAACAGGCUGGAUCAGCAAACUUGAUUUUGCUCACAUGAGUUAGGAGAGGACUGAAUUUCUACAAAAUCACUCACCCUUUUUAUCUCAUUUGAGUGGGAGUGGAAUUCUUU
rnacentral:lncRNA from 1 species